rnacentral:misc_RNA from 1 species
GAGAGCUUAAGAUGCUGCGAGGAAAGGUACCUCGGGGUAUAUCUGUCGGCCUUACCUUCAUGGUUGCCGACCCUGAGGCUACAAGAGAGUGAGACGCCAUUGAGAUCUGCCUUCUUUCUCUCUCCACCGGUCGCUGAUUAAGUGCUAUUUCUAGUGGUUUUGGAGUCUUGUUGUUGUUCCAAAGUUUUAGUUUUAAUGGAAGGCAUGUAGGGCUUUAUAUUGUGUUUGGUCUUUUUCCGUCAUUGGAGACAUGUACUCUCUCCUUCUAUAUGGUGGUAU